rnacentral:lncRNA from 1 species
GGUGCUGCACUGUAAUUUCUGUAAUUCUCUUUUUUCAUGUUUUAGAGUCAUUUUAAGAGAAUCUCGAAAGAAAUAAAAUGAGUAGUCUUUUGUCAUACUUCUGUUUUACUCUUGCCAAUCUAAGAUAAUUUAAGUGGAUGAUAACCUUAAUCUGCUACCUUAAAUGUGAGAGAUUAUGGAGAAUAGUGAUCGAUGACUCACCCGAUAAGGCCAUGCCUGGGAGGCGACACAAAGUCUAUGAAGAUGUGCCACGUGGGCAUGUUUUGUUUUGCGAAGCAU